UGAAUGUUUUGUUUAACAAAACAUUGUUUUUUAUUAAUCAAUGAUUGGAUUAUAGUAAUCUAAUUGAUUGUCUCUAUAGUAGAGAUGAUAUGGUAGUGUUAACUGUUUAGAAUAUAACGAUGCUUAAAACCCAAAAGGUUGCAAGGUAGUGACUAAUCCCAACUAAAGUUGUGAUACCUCUAAAACAUAAAUUACGAGUUGGUCAAAGAUGGAUGCUUUAGAUCGUUAGAUCCGGAUCCAAUACCUUCUUAUUAAAAUUGUAUGGAGGCAAAAUGUUCGAUUCUUUAUUCUUUUGGAAAGAAGAAAGAAUCACAAAGUUGUUUAGGCUAAUUCACUUAGAUGUUAGUGGCACUUGUCCACAACAUAAUACUACUCAUGUUGUAUGACAUUCACCGAAGAUCACUCUCGGUUGGACAAUAGUUUAUUUUGAAUAAACACAAGUCCGAAUACUUUGCAAAAGGUUUCAAAGAAUUCA
rnacentral:lncRNA from 1 species